rnacentral:rRNA from 1 species
UUGUAGCCUGCUAUGGGUAUAAAUUAGUGGCAGACGGGUGAGUAAUGUAUAGGAUCUACCUAGUAGUACGGAAUAAUUGUUGGAAACGACAACUAAUACCGUAUACGCCCUACGGGGGAAAAAUUUAUUGCUAUUAGAUGAGCCUAUAUUAGAUUAGCUAGUUGGUGGGGUAAUAGCCUACCAAGGUAAUGAUCUAUAGCUGAUCUGAGAGGAUGAUCAGCCACACUGGAACUGAGAUACGGUCCAGACUCCUACGGGAGGCAGCAGUGGGGAAUAUUGGACAAUGGGCGAAAGCCUGAUCCAGCCAUGCCGCAUGAGUGAAGAAGGCCUUUGGGUUGUAAAGCUCUUUUAGUGAGGAAGAUAAUGACGGUACUCACAGAAGAAGUCCUGGCUAACUCCGUGCCAGCAGCCGCGGUAAUACGGAGAGGGCUAGCGUUAUUCGGAAUUAUUGGGCGUAAAGGGCGCGUAGGCUGGUUAAUAAGUUAAAAGUGAAAUCCCGAGGCUUAACCUUGGAAUUGCUUUUAAAACUAUUAAUCUAGAGAUUGAAAGAGGAUAGGGGAAUUCCUGAUGUAGAGGUAAAAUUCGUAAAUAUUAGGAGGAACACCAGUGGCGAAGGCGUCUAUCUGGUUCAAAUCUGACGCUGAAGCGCGAAGGCGUGGGGAGCAAACAGGAUUAGAUACCCUGGUAGUCCACGCUGUAAACGAUGAAUGUUAAAUAUGGGGAGUUUACUUUCUGUAUUACAGCUAACGCGUUAAACAUUCCGCCUGGGGACUACGGUCGCAAGAUUAAAACUCAAAGGAAUUGACGGGGACCCGCACAAGCGGUGGAGCAUGUGGUUUAAUUCGAUGCAACG